rnacentral:rRNA from 1 species
CUUGGACAUUAUGAGAGGUCCAGCCUGCCCAGUGAAAUAAUUCAACGGCCGCGGUAUCCUAACCGUGCGAAGGUAGCGUAAUCACUUGUUCUCUAAAUCAGGACUAGUAUGAACGGCAUUACGAGGGUUAUACUGUCUCCUUUUUCUAAUUAGUGAACUUAAUCUUCCCGUGAAGAAGCGGGAAUAAGCCUAUAAGACGAGAAGACCCUAUGGAGCUUUAAACAAUCUAGCAUUUGCCUACCACUUUAAUAUUUUUCAGAAUCACUAGACCCUGCAUAAUGACUAGAAGUUUUAGGUUGGGGUGACCGCGGAGUAAAACUCAUCCUCCACAAUGAAAGAACCUUUAUUCUUAACUAAGAUAUACUUAUCUAUGUAUCAACUCAUUGACAUCUAUUGACCCAAUAUACUUGAUCAACGAAC